AAAAAGGCAAAUCCUAGGUUUCCGUGUCCAACUUUGAUUGUCUGUCUUAUAUGAAAUUUUUUUAUAAUUCAUAUUUUUAUUGUUGUUAGAUGAUAAAACAUGAUUAAUAUUUUAUACGUGACUUGUCUUUUUAAUUUUUUUUCUUAAUUUUUUAAAAUAAGACGGACGGUCAAACGUUGGGCACGGAAACCAGGGUUUGUCUUUUU
rfam:Oryza sativa (indica cultivar-group) chromosome 1, whole genome shotgun sequence.